CACAGAUGGCACUUACACUGACGAUAUAAUUGUUGUGAUACAUUUUACUGUUUUGAAACACUAAUAUUUGUGUUCAGCAAAGUCUCCUGAGUAUAACAGGACCCCUCAUGUUCAGGUUUUAUGGUGUUUUCAAAAGUUACAGAGUCAAAUAUAAGGCCUGCGUUUGUUUUUUCACAUUGAAAUUUGCCAGAUUGGUUAUGUU